CCCACACAUUCACAUUUUGAACAAUGAGGUUAGCAAGUCAUACAAGCAUGUAGCUUUCUUCAUAAAACCGUGUCUGAGAAUGGAAUCGGAAAGCAGGGAGGAGAAACUCAAUUGUCGCUUUCUGGUGAGGUGAAAAAAAACGGGACGCAAUCCAGUCCAUUCUCGUGUAUCUUCAUCAUUUCUGUAUUUUUUUUGGUUGUCAUCGGCUUCUCAUACCCCCACCACCUCUGUCCACUAGUCUCCAUUUCAUCAUGCUUUCCAACCCUGGAUACCUCAUCUAUUAAC
ensembl:ncRNA H03E18.5 ncRNA